rnacentral:rRNA from 1 species
GGGUUGUGAGGUUAAGCGACUAAGCGUACACGGUGGAUGCCCUGGCAGUCAGAGGCGAUGAAGGGCGUGCUAAUCUGCGAUAAGCGCCGGUAAGGUGAUAUGAACCGUUAUAACCGGCGAUACCCGAAUGGGGAAACCCAGUGUGACUCGUCACACUAUCAUUAACUGAAUCCAUAGGUUAAUGAGGCGAACCGGGGGAACUGAAACAUCUAAGUACCCCGAGGAAAAGAAAUCAACCGAGAUUCCCCCAGUAGCGGCGAGCGAACGGGGAGGAGCCCAGAGCCUGAAUCAGCAUGUGUGUUAGUGGAAGCGUCUGGAAAGGCGCGCGAUACAGGGUGACAGCCCCGUACACAAAAGCGCAUGUGCUGUGAGCUCGAUGAGUAGGGCGGGACACGUGGUAUCCUGUCUGAAUAUGGGGGGACCAUCCUCCAAGGCUAAAUACUCCUGACUGACCGAUAGUGAACCAGUACCGUGAGGGAAAGGCGAAAAGAACCCCGGCGAGGGGAGUGAAAAAGAACCUGAAACCGUGUACGUACAAGCAGUGGGAGCCCCACCACUAAGCCAGUGGUGAACUCCACAUACGCAUCCUUUGCUGAGGAUACGGUUAACGGAGCGAAAGCGACGUUCAACCUCAAAAGAAGCAGAGGGGGCUUAGUGGUGGGGUGACUGCGUACCUUUUGUAUAAUGGGUCAGCGACUUAUAUUCUGUAGCAAGGUUAACCGUAUAGGGGAGCCGGAGGGAAACCGAGUCUUAACCGGGCGUUAAGUUGCAGGGUAUAGACCCGAAACCCGGUGAUCUAGCCAUGGGCAGGUUGAAGGUUGGGUAACACUAACUGGAGGACCGAACCGACUAAUGUUGAAAAAUUAGCGGAUGACCUGUGGCUGGGGGUGAAAGGCCAAUCAAACCGGGAGAUAGCUGGUUCUCCCCGAAAGCUAUUUAGGUAGCGCCUCGUGAAUUCAUCUCCGGGGGUAGAGCACUGUUUCGGCUAGGGGGCCAUCCCGGCUUACCAACCCGAUGCAAACUGCGAAUACCGGAGAAUGUUAUCACGGGAGACACACGGCGGGUGCUAACGUCCGUCGUGAAGAGGGAAACAACCCAGACCGCCAGCUAAGGUCCCAAAGUCAUGGUUAAGUGGGAAACGAUGUGGGAAGGCCCAGACAGCCAGGAUGUUGGCUUAGAAGCAGCCAUCAUUUAAAGAAAGCGUAAUAGCUCACUGGUCGAGUCGGCCUGCGCGGAAGAUGUAACGGGGCUAAACCAUGCACCGAAGCUGCGGCAGCGACGCUUAUGCGUUGUUGGGUAGGGGAGCGUUCUGUAAGCCUGCGAAGGUGGCCUGUGAGGGUUGCUGGAGGUAUCAGAAGUGCGAAUGCUGACAUAAGUAACGAUAAAGCGGGUGAAAAGCCCGCUCGCCGGAAGACCAAGGGUUCCUGUCCAACGUUAAUCGGGGCAGGGUGAGUCGACCCCUAAGGCGAGGCCGAAAGGCGUAGUCGAUGGGAAACAGGUUAAUAUUCCUGUACUUGGUGUUACUGCGAAGGGGGGACGGAGAAGGCUAUGUUGGCCGGGCGACGGUUGUCCCGGUUUAAGCGUGUAGGUGUGUGUUCCAGGUAAAUCCGGUUCACUUUAACACUGAGGCGUGACGACGAGGCACUACGGUGCUGAAGCAACAAAUGCCCUGCUUCCAGGAAAAGCCUCUAAGCAUCAGGUAACAUCAAAUCGUACCCCAAACCGACACAGGUGGUCAGGUAGAGAAUACCAAGGCGCUUGAGAGAACUCGGGUGAAGGAACUAGGCAAAAUGGUGCCGUAACUUCGGGAGAAGGCACGCUGACACGUAGGUGAAGUGAUUUACUCAUGGAGCUGAAGUCAGUCGAAGAUACCAGCUGGCUGCAACUGUUUAUUAAAAACACAGCACUGUGCAAACACGAAAGUGGACGUAUACGGUGUGACGCCUGCCCGGUGCCGGAAGGUUAAUUGAUGGGGUCAGCGCAAGCGAAGCUCCUGAUCGAAGCCCCGGUAAACGGCGGCCGUAACUAUAACGGUCCUAAGGUAGCGAAAUUCCUUGUCGGGUAAGUUCCGACCUGCACGAAUGGCGUAAUGAUGGCCAGGCUGUCUCCACCCGAGACUCAGUGAAAUUGAACUCGCUGUGAAGAUGCAGUGUACCCGCGGCAAGACGGAAAGACCCCGUGAACCUUUACUAUAGCUUGACACUGAACAUUGAGCCUUGAUGUGUAGGAUAGGUGGGAGGCUUUGAAGCGUGGACGCCAGUCUGCGUGGAGCCGACCUUGAAAUACCACCCUUUAAUGUUUGAUGUUCUAACGUGGACCCGUAAUCCGGGUUGCGGACAGUGUCUGGUGGGUAGUUUGACUGGGGCGGUCUCCUCCUAAAGAGUAACGGAGGAGCACGAAGGUUGGCUAAUCCUGGUCGGACAUCAGGAGGUUAGUGCAAUGGCAUAAGCCAGCUUGACUGCGAGCGUGACGGCGCGAGCAGGUGCGAAAGCAGGUCAUAGUGAUCCGGUGGUUCUGAAUGGAAGGGCCAUCGCUCAACGGAUAAAAGGUACUCCGGGGAUAACAGGCUGAUACCGCCCAAGAGUUCAUAUCGACGGCGGUGUUUGGCACCUCGAUGUCGGCUCAUCACAUCCUGGGGCUGAAGUAGGUCCCAAGGGUAUGGCUGUUCGCCAUUUAAAGUGGUACGCGAGCUGGGUUUAGAACGUCGUGAGACAGUUCGGUCCCUAUCUGCCGUGGGCGCUGGAGAACUGAGGGGGGCUGCUCCUAGUACGAGAGGACCGGAGUGGACGCAUCACUGGUGUUCGGGUUGUCAUGCCAAUGGCACUGCCCGGUAGCUAAAUGCGGAAGAGAUAAGUGCUGAAAGCAUCUAAGCACGAAACUUGCCCCGAGAUGAGUUCUCCCUGAGACUUAGAGUCUCCUGAAGGAACGUUGAAGACGACGACGUUGAUAGGCCGGGUGUGUAAGCGCAGCGAUGCGUUGAGCUAACCGGUACUAAUGAACCGUGAGGCUUAACCUUACAACGCCGAAG